AGUUAGAUAGGGAAAGUUUUUCGGUGUAGGAUGAGGCUAUAUUGUAUCAGCUAGUUGGUGAGGUAAUGGCUCACCAAGGCUAUGACGCAUAACUGGUCUGAGAGGAUGAUCAGUCACACUGGAACUGAGACACGGUCCAGACUCCUACGGGAGGCAGCAGUAGGGAAUAUUGCUCAAUGGGGGAAACCCUGAAGCAGCAACGCCGCGUGGAGGAUGACACUUUUCGGAGCGUAAACUCCUUUUGUUAGGGAAGAACAAUGACGGUACCUAACGAAUAAGCACCGGCUAACUCCGUGCCAGCAGCCGCGGUAAUACGGAGGGUGCAAGCGUUACUCGGAAUCACUGGGCGUAAAGGACGCGUAGGCGGAUUAUCAAGUCUCUUGUGAAAUCCUAUGGCUUAACCAUAGAACUGCUUGGGAAACUGAUAAUCUAGAGUGAGGGAGAGGCAGAUGGAAUUGGUGGUGUAGGGGUAAAAUCCGUAGAGAUCACCAGGAAUACCCAUUGCGAAGGCGAUCUGCUGGAACUCAACUGACGCUAAUGCGUGAAAGCGUGGGGAGCAAACAGGAUUAGAUACCCUGGUAGUCCACGCCCUAAACGAUGUAUACUAGUUGUUGCUAAGCUAGUCUUGGCAGUAAUGCACCUAACGGAUUAAGUAUACCGCCUGGGGAGUACGGUCGCAAGAUUAAAACUCAAAGGAAUAGACGGGGACCCGCACAAGCGGUGGAGCAUGUGGUUUAAUUCGAAGAUACGCGAAGAACCUUACCCGGACUUGAUAUCUAACAAAUCAUCUAGAGAUAGAAGAGUGUCUGCUCGCAGAAAUGUUAAGACAGGUGCUGCACGGCUGUCGUCAGCUCGUGUCGUGAG
rnacentral:rRNA from 1 species